UACGAACCGGACAAACGUUAUUCGGAAUCACUGGGCUUAAAGAGUGCGUAGGCGGCCUGCCAAGUUGGGUGUGAAAUCCCUCGGCUCAACCGAGGAAUUGCGCUCAAAACUGGUAGGCUCGAGGAAGGCAGGGGUAAGCCGAACAGAUGGUGGAGCGGUGAAAUGCGUUGAUAUCAUCUGGAACACCAGUGGCGAAGGCGGCUUACUGGGCCUUUACUGACGCUGAGGCACGAAAGCUAGGGUAGCGAACGGG
rnacentral:rRNA from 1 species